rnacentral:lncRNA from 1 species
UGAGUUGUUUCUGUCGCAAGUUGAAAUCGAAGAUGGGCAAGAAAUGAAGAAACGCCUUUUUCCUAGGUAUAUAUAUGUGCGACUGCUACACAUAGGAAAGAAUAGGGGAGCUGACAAGUUUUGUGUAGUCAUUUGCUUUGUGAAUCAUUUCCCUAAAUGGAGCUGCUGUAUAUUUAUGAUUUACUACUUACUAGUCUAGUAUAGAAUUAUCUUUUCUCUAAGUUGAAUGCUCAAUUGUAUAAAUUGUUGUGUACAUUGUCUCACAUUUCAUUUCGUAGCUUACUUAGGUCGUCAACAUUUUGAAGUGCUA